rnacentral:rRNA from 1 species
UACGUAGGGCGCAAGCGUUGUCCGGAAUUAUUGGGCGUAAAGAGCUCGUAGGCGGCUUGUCACGUCGGUUGUGAAAGCCCGGGGCUUAACCCCGGGUCUGCAGUCGAUACGGGCUAGCUAGAGUGUGGUAGGGGAGAUCGGAAUUCCUGGUGUAGCGGUGAAAUGCGCAGAUAUCAGGAGGAACACCGGUGGCGAAGGCGGAUCUCUGGGCCAUUACUGACGCUGAGGAGCGAAAGUGUGGGGAGCGAACAGG